GAUGGAUAACAGGUUGAUAUUCCUGUACCACCUAUAAUCGUUUUAAUCGAUGGGGGGACGCAGUAGGAUAGGCGAAGCGUGCGAUUGGAUUGCACGUCUAAGCAGUAAGGCUGAGUAUUAGGCAAAUCCGGUACUCGUUAAGGCUGAGCUGUGAUGGGGAGAAGACAUUGUGUCUUCGAGUCGUUGAUUUCACACUGCCGAGAAAAGCCUCUAGAUAGAAAAUAGGUGCCCGUACCGCAAACCGACACAGGUAGUCAAGAUGAGAAUUCUAAGGUGAGCGAGCGAACUCUCGUUAAGGAACUCGGCAAAAUGACCCCGUAACUUCGGGAGAAGGGGUGCUC
rnacentral:rRNA from 1 species